rnacentral:rRNA from 1 species
AAUGGGCGAAAGCCUGAUCCAGCCAUGCCGCGUGUGUGAAGAAGGCCUUCGGGUUGUAAAGCACUUUAAGCGGGGAGGAAGGGCUUCUGGCUAAUAUCCAGGCGCAUUGACGUUACCCGCAGAAUAAGCACCGGCUAACUCUGUGCCAGCAGCCGCGGUAAUACAGAGGGUGCGAGCGUUAAUCGGAAUUACUGGGCGUAAAGCGCGCGUAGGCGGUUUGUUAAGUCGGAUGUGAAAUCCCCGGGCUCAACCUGGGCACUGCAUCCGAUACUGGCUGACUAGAGUGUGGGAGAGGAAGGUAGAAUUCCAGGUGUAGCGGUGAAAUGCGUAGAGAUCUGGAGGAAUACCGAUGGCGAAGGCAGCCUUCUGGCCUGACACUGACGCUGAGGUGCGAAAGCAUGGGGAGCAAA